CGGGAGGCAGCAGUGAGGAAUAUUGGUCAAUGGACGCGAGUCUGAACCAGCCAAGUAGCGUGAAGGAUGACUGCCUAUGGGUUGUAAACUUCUUUUAUAUGGGAAUAAGUGGUCCACGUGUGGACUUUUGUAUGUACCAUAUGAAUAAGGAUCGGCUAACUCCGUGCCAGCAGCCGCGGUAAUACGGAGGAUCCGAGCGUUAUCCGGAUUUAUUGGGUUUAAAGGGAGCGUAGGCGGAUUGUUAAGUCAGUUGUGAAAGUUUGCGGCUCAACCGUAAAAUUGCAGUUGAUACUGGCAGUCUUGAGUGCAGUAGAGGUGGGCGGAAUUCGUGGUGUAGCGGUGAAAUGCUUAGAUAUCACGAAGAACUAUGAUUGCGAAGGCAGCUCACUGGAGUGUAACUGACGCUGAUGCU
rnacentral:rRNA from 1 species